rnacentral:lncRNA from 1 species
AGCAGAGCACGGCCCAGGCUGGCAGCGGGGGCUCUCCAGGCUGGGUACACCCAAUGCCAACUCAGAUGGAAACCUGGGCGCGUUGGCCGGGAGCCCUGUGCCUGGACAGGUAGCAACACGGUGCGGAGACAGGAUCAGGCCGCGAAGCAGGGUGUAUGCCAGCCGUGAGGGGAGAAUGCUGCAGAGCUGAGUGUCACAACUGCUGGUUUCCUUUUCAUUCUGGAACACUGGAGAUUCCAGAGCUGUUAUGCGUCGUUCCGGGACAUGAUUCAGGCUUAGGGCUUCCAGGUCUUGGCAGUGAGGAGGGAAUGGGGACUCUACCAUGGAGAAGACAGGAUUCCUCUUUGGUCCAUGACUCAAAAAGCCACAGGGAUGCUCCAUGACUAUUACAAGACUUCAAAAUUACAGUUAAUUUGA